AUUGCUAUAAAUCGUUAAAGAGUUCCCUCGACUAACUUUUGUCUCCAUCAUCAGACUGUAAUGGCACUUAUAACUCAUACAGGUGCAAAGUUCUCAUCUAUAGAAACGAAUUAAGUUCAAAAAGCAGGUAAUUGCUAUAAUUUCUUAAAGAGUUCCCUCGACUAUCUUUCGUCUCCAUCAUCAGACUUUAAUGGCACUUGUAACUCAUAUAGGUGCAAAGUUCUCAUCAAUAGAAACGAAUUAAGUUCAAACAGCAGGUAAUUGCUAUAAGUCGUUGAAGAGUACCCCCGACUAUCUUUCGUCUCCAUCAUCAGACUGAAAUGGCACUUAUAACUCAUAUAUAUGCAAAGUUCUCAUCAAUAGAAACGAAUUAAGUUCAAACAGCAGGUAAUUGCUAUAAGUCGUUGAAGAGUACCCUCGACUAUCUUUCGUCUCCAUCAUCAGACUGAAAUGGCACUUAUAACUCAUAUAUAUAUGCAAAGUUCUCUUCAAUAGAAACGAAUUAAGUUCAAACAGCAGGUAAUUGCUAUAAAUCGUUAAAGAGUUCCCUCGACUAACUUUUGUCUCCAUUAUCAGACUGUAAUGGCACUUAUAACUCAUACAGGUGCAAAGUUCUCAUCAAUAGAAACGAAUUAAGUUCAAAAAGCAGGUAAUUGCUAUAAAUUGUUGAAGAGUUCCCUCGACUAUCUCUCUUCUCCAUCAUCAGAUCGACUCCAGACCUUUAUUAAAUAGUAGUGCUUUAUAGUACCUAAUGAAAACAUGAUUAAAUUUACUAGUCAUCCUUACGAUUUUUGAAAGUUUCCCUCAAUUUCUCUGGGAUCCCAUCAUCAGAUCCUGGUUUCCUUAUCAUGGUACCAAACUAUGAAUAUCUCCUUUCCAAAAAAAAAAAAAGAAUUAUCAAAAUCGGUUCAUAAACGAAGAAGUUAUCUCCGAACAUACAUAAAAAAAAUAUAUAUAUAUACGGUCGAAUUGAGUAACCUCCUUCUUUUUUUGA
rnacentral:misc_RNA from 1 species